GGACCGUUCGACUUCUGGUGAGGUCACUGCCCUUUCAAGGCAGCAAGGUUGGGUUCGAAUCCCACACGGUCUGCCA
rnacentral:tRNA from 1 species